AGAAUGAACGUUGGCGGCGUGGAUUAGGCAUGCAAGUCGAACGGAUCCGGUCUUCGGACCGGGUUAGUGGCGCAAGGGUGAGUAAGGCGACGGUAACCAACCCCGAGAUUGGGUAUAGCCGCGGGAAACUGCGGGUAAUCCCCAGCGAUGCGUCGGGCCGGCAUCGGCCUGACGUCAAAGUUUCAACGUCUUGGGACGGGCUGUCGUGGUAUUAGGUAGUUGGCGGGGUAAUGGCCCACCAAGCCUUCGAUGCCUACCGGGCGUGCGAGCGUGGCCCGGCACACUGGGACUGAGACACUGCCCAGACACCUACGGGUGGCUGCAGUCGAGAAUCUUCGGCAAUGGGCGCAAGCCUGACCGAGCGACGCCGCGUGGAGGAUGAAGGCCUUCGGGUUGUAAACUCCUGUCGAGGGGGAGGAAGGGGAACCUUGACCUAUCCCUGGAGGAAGCACGGGCUAAGUUCGUGCCAGCAGCCGC
rnacentral:rRNA from 1 species